rnacentral:misc_RNA from 1 species
GUAGAAUUUAAUUCACUUGCCAAAUCAAAUAAAUUAUAAGAUUUUUUGAGUUUAUUUGAAUUUUAUAUCUAAGAACUUGUCAGUUAUUGAGCUUCACAUUUAAGGUUAGAAUUGUAUCAAAAAAAUCCCUAAGAUUCAUAAAAGUUUAAAAUUCUGUAUUUUUAUCUGCAUCUAGUGAAAGGUUUACUUGCUUAUUGAUAGACUAAUAUAUUGCUAAAUCUUUAAGGGCAUGGAGUUUAAAU